UGAAAGUUUUAUUCUUGUUUUAGGAUUUGCUUUAGGUUUAUUUUACAUGUAUGUUUUUGCGUGUUUGUUUAUAAUUUUUCUUAAAGAGAUUUUUUAGUAGAUAAUUCGCAGUAUUUAAUUUUAUUAAUCAGAGAAAUUUGGAAUUAGUAAUAUUUAUUAAUACCGGCAAAAAUCGUGCCAGCUGCCGCGGUUAUACGGAGGGUGUAAGUGAAUAAUUAUUAGUGAUAUAGUUAAAUGAUGAAUUGGGAAGAAAUUAAAAUUUAAUUGGUUAGGUGAAAUUUUAAAUUUUAUAUUAAUUUCUUAGGGUUAUUUUUAUUGAAGCUAUGAAAUUUAAAUUUUAAACUAGGAUUAGAUACCCUAUUAUUUUAGAUGUAAAUAUUUUGAUUACUUGGGUAGUAUUAGAUAUGGUCUUGAAACUCAAAGAAUUUGGCGGUGUUUUAGUCCUUUCAGAGGAACCUGUCCCGUGAUCGAUAAUCCACGUUAUAUCUUACUUGAUUUAGUGAUCAGCUUGUAUACCGCCGUCGUCAGAAUGUCCUUAAAGGGAAAAAUUUUCUUAAAUUUUUAAUAAAAAUUAUGUCAGGUCAAGGUGCAGUUUAUGGUCAAGUGGUGAUGGGUUACAAUAAAUUUAUUUAGUAUGGAUAAUAAGUUGAAAUUUAUUAAUUAGAAGGUGGAUUUGAUGGUAAUUUGAAUAAUUAAGUUUAUUUGAUUUUGGCUCUAAAAUAUGCACACAUCGCCCGUCGCUCUUGUUAAUUAAGACAAGAUAAGUCGUAACAUAGUAGGUGUACUGGAAAGUGUACCUGGUAAGUAA
rnacentral:ncRNA from 1 species